rnacentral:lncRNA from 1 species
CAGAUUGUAUAACAAGAGCUAGCCCAUCUCUGCUUAUGUCUCAUGAGUACACAUUUAACCUUCCUCACGGCCUGGACAAGGUCAACCACUUUUCAGGGCAGUCAAUCUCAAAGUUCUUUGACCAGAGGAGUUUUUGUCCUGAAGCCACCGUUCCCGCCUCUGUUCCCACAGGACUAGUUCUACAUCAAUGAAGGCCAUCAGCAUGUACGUCCUUCUCCAUAAAACCAUGCAGCCUAACUUGGAAGCUGCUACAGCUUGCAUCCUGGCCUGCAGCCUUGCCUUCCCAGGGCCAAACUCUGUUCUUCCGCGACCCAGAGAUUUGGGUGCUUUGAGAACUGGGAGGUAAAAGGGGUGGGUGCGUGGAGGAAGGCCAACUGAGAGUCAGAAGACCUCAGUUUCAGCCCUGGUGGUUCCAUUCACCCUGUGCGACCUUGAGGGGUGUCCCUCAUGUCUCUGGCCUGUAGAUUCUUCAUCGAUAAAAGAAAAAGGUGACUUGAGAUGGUCUCAGAGGCCUUGUUAGUUCCAGUUACCUGUGACUCAUAGUGGGGAGGUGUUGGUGAAAGGGCUGGAGAGGACCCUGUGGGGGACCAAUUUCUCCACACUUUUGUAUGCACCACUUCAUCCCAAAUAUUUGAUAACCUUACUUGGUCUCUGAAACUUUUAUGCAAAAAGACUUUUAAAAAAUCUUAUACUUUUAUUCCUCUGCAGUUUCAGUCUCUGGGAUCUGGCCUCUGUGCAGACAUAAGGAUGUUGAAAGGAAUGAUGGCAUCCACCAAUCCAACCUCCCACUGGCACAGUCACCUAAAGGCUUGUGAAAAUCUCCAUUGCAUCAACCCCAGUAUCAAAGCCUCAGUGUGCCUCACUUUGCUAGGAGCGAUGCCACAUCUCCCAUUCCUGGAUAGAGGGAGGGCUCCAGGAGAACUGAAGUGUGUGAGUCCCUGUGGCCUGGAAGGAGAGGAGAGAAACCAGGGGCAUAGUCUGGGGCCAUAGUGCCAAGGACUGAGUAUCCUGGGGCUUCCAGCUGCAGGAACGGUGCCUGAGGAUGGAAGCUGGAGGCCAGGACCAGGUGGACAGCUCCUAAUCAGGAUUCCAUACAGCAGGAAUCCCCAACUUCUGGGCCGUGGACCAGUACCCGUUCGUGGCCUGUUAGGAACUGGCCACACAGCAGGAAGUGAGCAGCGGGCAAGGGAGCAUGACCACCUGAGUUCUCCCUCCUGUCAGAUCAGAGGCCACAUUAGAUUCUCAUAGGAGCGUGAACCCUAUUGUGAAGUGCGCACGUGAGAGAUCUAGGUUGCACACUCCUUACAAAAAUCUAACUAAUGCCUGAUGAUCUGAGGUGGAACAGCUUCAUCCUGAAACCUUCCCCCACCACCAUCCAUGGAAAAAGGUCACCAAAAAGGUUGGGGACUCCUGCCAUCCAGGACAUGACAUUACCUCUUACCAUCAUGUUUCCUCAGACCUCUCUUGGCUGGGACAAUUUCCCAGACUUUUCUUGUUUUUGAUGAGUUUUGACGAGUACGAUCAGGUUAUUGUGUAGAACAACCUUCCGUCGGAGUUUGUCUGGUGGUUUUGUUAUGAUUAGACUGUGCUCUGCAUCUGUG